GGGUGAACGAACCCAACGUUAUGCUGGCCCACAGUGAGGACUGGACCCUGGAUCAUCAACGAGAGUGAGACGAACAAGAAGCGACUAGCGAACAGCAGCGGCCACAUCCUGCGAUUGGAACGAAGAGUUACGCAAAGAAAAAUAACGAGCUGCUUCGAUGCUGUGCUGGGGUAUCACUGUCUGGAUGAGUUAAGAGUUCCAGGAUGAUUUAUAUAGCCAGGCCCUUCACUUUUCAAGGUUGGAACAUAAUCAAAAUUGAAAACUUUCUCACUUGUUUGAUGUACAAAGACGACUGUUCAAAUAUUGAUCUCGAUGAACCGACGAUAUUUUCGUUGGAAUUAUCCAUCUCGCAAUAUGGAAAAUGGUUGAAACGAACAAACAUAGCAUCGUGCCUCUAUUUGAACGAGAGCGGAAUUGUGUGGUGAAAAAGACCUUGGUUUAUAGCUCGGUCAUUGCAACAGCAGCGUCACCGUGGGAUUUACCCUUUGCAUAAGUAGGCGGCCUUCCUCGGACAUCCGGCCACCCCUCCCCCGUCCUUCAAAUGAGAACGGGGUUUAUGUUCAACGUCCCAGAAAAAUGACUAUUAUUCAUUCCAUUAGUUAAUUCUUGUGUAUUGUAAUAAUUUAUUAGUUUUCAUCAUAACAUGUACGUAAUGUUGAAACAAACCAUCAUUUUAACAUAACGCUAACGUGGAUAAACAAGCCGGAAUGCAUCCAGCGAUUGAAAUCGAAAUGAAUUCUGCGUUAGUUGAAUUGACGACAGUGACAGCUGUCAUUGUAACAGUGGUCGUCGUGGCAAAAUACCACUGACCGUGUCUUGCACGACCUUCACGUGUAACUGACUCUUCUGGUGAUGUCAUCGAAGCAUCCAAUAAAGCAGUC